CCACAUGUGGGAAGGGGCGAGUGACAGUGUCGCAGGGACCCAAGCAGUAGUCUGGACCUUGUCAGCUGCAAGGUCCGACCUGCUUUGUGACUUUAGCAAGAUGCUCACCCUCUCUGAGCCUGUGUCCUCAUCU
ensembl:miRNA